AAAAAUUGGUCUCCCCUCUCAUUUCAACCAUACGAAGCUAGGGAGGAACACAGAGAAGAAUCAUUAACACUACAUACUUCCAUCAACUCCUUUCCUUCCCUCGAAACCGUGAGCCACUAGAGGAUGAAUCGAAGUUUGCAUGAUUCUCCUUUCCAUCUUUAUUGAACCGUGAGAAAAGGGGGAAAACAAAAUCAUCUUCCCUCUGCCUUCUUUCCCAGUACAACCGUGUAACCACCUAGAAGGAAACGGUCACCUUAGUUCAACAUUUUUCCUCUCUGUUCGAUCCUACAUGCAAACAGCCAAGGAGAUUGAAGCCUAAGCAUAGUUUCUUUCUUCUUGUCCAGCCGUGGACCAACAUCCAUGGAGAUAGAAACACAAGCAUGAACCCUUCCUUUUCCACUUCCUUGUUCGGCUGUGUGUACCGUUGAGGAGCAUUGGGCGGGCCACUCUUUCCUUGCAUGUAGAUGGAACCGGUCUUGCGGAGCAAAAGAAAAGGGCCAAAGUUGUACCAUUCUUCGAUGGCUGAACCAUUAGUUCCAAGAGAGGCGUGAAAGGUUUUUCUCUGAUUUCUUGUUGCCGUUGGACUCAUCACUAAUUUGAUGGAGCCUUCCCCUUACUACUUUUCUUAACCGUGAAUGAAGGACCUCAUCAUCAAGUCCACAUUUUUAUCUCUUUUCUCGGUUCCAGCCGAGUCUUCAAGUCCUAGGAGAGGUGCGUAUGCCUUGUGAGAUGUUGGAUCAUAAUUUCCUCUGCUGCCUAGUAAAUUAUCUGUAACGUUUGAGGAGGACGAAAGAGCAUUUGAGGGCAUGGAUGUUUCGAAUUUGCUGUUAUUCUGCUGCUGUUUGGAUUAUUUGCUAUUGACUGCUUUAUUCCUCGGAUGACUGUAUUAUAUGCUACUUGGUGAACUUUGGAUGACUGUAUGACUGUGAAUUAUUUACUGUUUUAGAACUCUCAUGAACAGCGGCUACUUUGAGAAAAUCUGAAAACGUUUUGCG